rnacentral:lncRNA from 1 species
AAAAAGAUCACCGAAUUCCACAGUAAAUUAGCAAUUCGCAAAUAAAUUAAAAGAGGUUCGAAUCCCACACUUGAUUAGUGACCAAUGAUGUUUAGACACCGACUCAGCGACAAGGAAGCAAAGCUUUCCAAAAUCCACAAGCAAAACCAUUUUCAAAGGAAAAUAAAGAAGAACAAAAAGAAAAGAAGUAAAGAAAGGAAAGGAGGAAAACGUCCAGAAAACAAAUAAAAAAUAAAAAUAAAAGUAACAAUAAAUAGUUAUAUAUAUUAACUUAAAACAAAACUGCUACUUAACAAAACAAAAUGAAAUAAAAGUGUUUCUCCAAAAUGGACACACAAAGACUCGAACCUAGAACCUUGAGGUAUACUAACACUCACUCAACC